rnacentral:rRNA from 1 species
UGAAAUCCUCAUUUAUAUGCUGUUAGGCAUAAAUACCUAACUCUUUUUAGUUUUAGGUCUAUCUCAGAUAAGGUAAGGGAAAAUAAUGAUGCUACCUUUCUAUAGUGUUGUCAAAAUUUGGUGCCAGAAGACUCGGUAAGGCCAAAAACGCAAACGUUAGUCUUCUUAAUCAGGCGUAAAGGGUUAGUAGGCGGCUUUAAUCAACUUACACCAGAGAUACAAUUGUACAAUACAAAUAAUAUCUUUUUAAUUGUACAACUUAGAAAUUGUAUACUAACAAUCAUUCGUUCUUAUUUAUUUGUAUAAGAACUGUAUCUUUAAGUAUUGAAAAUCAGGGUAAGUCUAAUUUAAAGCUAGAAUCGGGAAGAGGUUAUAUUAUGAAAUGCUCAAAGUAGGGGUUUUAUCCUUAGAGAUUGAGUGGAACACUAAUAGCGAAAGCUAUUUUUCCAAUAACGAUUGACGCUGAGGAACGAAGGUAAGGUAAGGAAACAGGAUUUGAUACCCCAUUACCCUUUCUGUAAACGAUGAAUGGUAAUUGUUAGUUAUGGCCUAGGGCCCAUGGCUAGUUUUAAUGUUAACACGUUAACCAUUCCGCCUUGUGAGUACGAUUGCAAAAUUGAAACACAACA